CUUGCCAGGGAACUACGAGCUCCAGCUUAAAACCCAAAGGACUUGGCGGUGCUUUAAACCCACCUAGAGGAGCCUGUUCUAGAACCGAUAACCCCCGUUAAACCUCACCCUCCCUUGUUAUUUCCGCCUAUAUACCGCCGUCGUCAGCUUACCCUGUGAAGGAUGCAUAGUGAGCAAAACUGGCACAGCCUAAAACGCCAGGUCGAGGUGUAGCGAAUGAGAGGGGAAGAAAUGGGCUACAUUCACUGCCUCAGUGAACACGAAAAAUGCUUUGAAACAAGUAUUUAAAGGAGGAUUUAGUAGUAAAGGGAGAACAGAGUACCCCCUUGAAACUGGCCCUGAAGCGCGCACACACCGCCCGUCACUCUCCUAGGACUAUAAACCGAAUUAUAUAAACAAAUUCUUUGAACAAAGGGAGGAAAGUCGUAACAUGGUAAGUGUACCGGAAGGUGUACUUGGUCAAAU
rnacentral:rRNA from 1 species